GAAUUAACAAAAAGGCUUAUUCAAGCGAGAUAACCGCCGACAUUUUGUUGUUGUUGUUGUUAUAUUUUCGAAUGAAGACAGUGAAUAUCUUUAUUUUAUAGACACAAGAGAGAAACGCAUGCUAGAAACGUUUAAUUCAGGUAUAAACAAUGAAUAUCCUGAAAUUUUAUCUAUGCCUUAAAUUAAUGCAAAUGAUAUAAAUGUUAGGCAAUCCCACAAAUUACUUAACACGUAGAAACGUCCUUUUUAAAUUUAAAGAUUCAAAC
rnacentral:lncRNA from 1 species